rnacentral:rRNA from 1 species
AUUGAACGCUGGCGGCAUGCUUUACACAUGCAAGUCGAACGGUAACAGGUUAAGCUGACGAGUGGCGAACGGGUGAGUAAUGCAUCGGAACGUGCCCGGUCGUGGGGGAUAACGCAGCGAAAGCUGCGCUAAUACCGCAUACGAUCUGAGGAUGAAAGCGGGGGACCGUAAGGCCUCGCGCGGUCGGAGCGGCCGAUGUCAGAUUAGGUAGUUGGUGGGGUAAAGGCUCACCAAGCCAACGAUCUGUAGCUGGUCUGAGAGGACGACCAGCCACACUGGGACUGAGACACGGCCCAGACUCCUACGGGAGGCAGCAGUGGGGAAUUUUGGGCAAUGGGCGAAAGCCUGAUCCAGCAAUGCCGCGUGCAGGAAGAAGGCCUUCGGGUUGUAAACUGCUUUUGUACGGAGCGAAAAGGUCUCCUCUAAUACAGGGGGCUCAUGACGGUACCGUAAGAAUAAGCACCGGCUAACUACGUGCCAGCAGCCGCCGUAA